GGCCCAAAUUUGAAGUAAGAGUUGAUUGGUAGGAUCAGCUGACCAUACUAAUGUACUCUACUUCAAGAUUGCGUCC
rnacentral:pre_miRNA from 1 species